AGAAAAAAAAAAAAAAGAACCAUCAAUCAAUCAAAACUGAAGCACCUAAAAUUACACAAUUCACCAACUAAAGAUAGAAAAUUUCGACUAAUUCACAUCUCAUAGAUCCAUACAACACAACAAAUUCCACUAAAAAAAAUCUAAUAUGAAGAAUCAGAUUUUAUAUUUGGGAGUUUAUAACACAAAAAGCCACUGGAGACAGAGAUUCACAGAUAUAAGCAUGGAAUAUGGCUAAAGCAGUGAAUUGAUUAACUAAGCUAUAAUCGAUCUACCUGAAAGAGGAUCUAAGAGGCAGCUACAGUAUGAAGCAACAACGCAGACAGUAUGAAGGGCAGAGGCUGAGGUAAGAAAAAACGAGUAGAGGUG
rnacentral:misc_RNA from 1 species